rnacentral:rRNA from 1 species
AGUGAAGCGGCAACAGCUCAAAUUUGAAAUCUGGCUCUUUUAGAGUCCGAGUUGUAAUUUGCAGAGGGCGCUUUGGCUUUGGCAGCGGUCCAAGUUCCUUGGAACAGGACGUCACAGAGGGUGAGAAUCCCGUACGUGGUCGCUGGCUAUUGCCGUGUAAAGCCCCUUCGACGAGUCGAGUUGUUUGGGAAUGCAGCUCUAAAUGGGAGGUACAUUUCUUCUAAAGCUAAAUAUUGGCCAGAGACCGAUAGCGCACAAGUAGAGUGAUCGAAAGAUGAAAAGCACUUUGGAAAGAGAGUCAAACAGCACGUGAAAUUGUUAAAAGGGAAGCGCUUGCAGCCAGACUUGCUUGCAGUUGCUCAUCCGGGCUUUUGCCCGGUGCACUCUUCUGUAGGCAGGCCAGCAUCAGUUUGGGCGGUAGGAUAAAGGUCUCUGUCACGUACCUCCUUUCGGGGAGGCCUUAUAGGGGAGACGACAUACUACCAGCCUGGACUGAGGUCCGCGCAUCUGCUAGGAUGCUGGCGUAAUGGCUGUAAGCGGCCCGUCUUGAAACACGGACCAAGGAGUCUAACAUCUAUGCGAGUGUUUGGGUGUCAAGCCCGAGCGCGUAAUGAAAGUGAACGGAGGUGGGAACCCGCAAGGGUGCACCAUCGACCGAUCCUGAUGUCUUCGGAAGGAUUUGAGUAAGAGCAUGGCUGUUGGGACCCGAAAGAUGGUGAACUAUGCUUGAAUAGGGUGAAGC